UGGGGAAUAUUGCACAAUGGACGGAAGUUUGAUGCAGCGACGCCGCGUGGAGGGUGUAGGCCUUCGGGUUGUGAACUCCCUUUUCUCGCGAAAAAGGCACAGUUUUGGCUGUGUUGAUGGUAGUGGGGGAAGAAGCGCCGGCUAACUACGUGCCAGCAGCCGCGGUAAUACGUAGGGCGCGAGCGUUGUCCGGAUUUAUUGGGCGUAAAGAGCUCGUAGGUGGUUCGUCGCGUCUGUCGUGAAAGCCAGCAGCUUAACUGUUGGUCUGCGGUGGGUACGGGCGGGCUUGAGUGCGGUAGGGGUGACUGGAAUUCCGGGUGUAGCGGUGGAAUGCGCAGAUAUCAGGAGGAACACCGAUGGCGAAGGCAGGUCACUGGGCCGUUACUGACACUGAGGAGCGAAAGCGUGGGGAGCGAACAGG
rnacentral:rRNA from 1 species